rnacentral:rRNA from 1 species
CUACGGGGGGCAGCAGUAGGGAAUAUUGGACAAUGGGCGCAAGCCUGAUCCAGCAAUGCCGCGUGAGUGAUGAAGGCCUUAGGGUUGUAAAGCUCUUUUACCAGAGAUGAUAAUGACAGUAUCUGGGGAAUAAGCCCCGGCUAACUCCGUGCCAGCAGCCGCGGUAAUACGGAGGGGGCUAGCGUUGUUCGGAAUUACUGGGCGUAAAGCGCACGUAGGCGGCGAUUUAAGUCAGAGGUGAAAGCCCGGGGCUCAACCCCGGAACUGCCUUUGAGACUGGAUUGCUUGAAUCCGGGAGAGGUGAGUGGAAUUCCGAGUGUAGAGGUGAAAUUCGUAGAUAUUCGGAAGAACACCAGUGGCGAAGGCGGCUCACUGGACCGGCAUUGACGCUGAGGUGCGAAAGCGUGGGGAGCAAACAGGAUUAGAUACCCCCGUAGUC